AGUUUGGAUUUCCUGCCUGUGUAAGAGGACCUCGAUCUCACAAUCACUGAAUCGUGUUUUUUCCCCAUUUUUCCGUUUCAUGAUUGGUCAUCAAGGGCUCCUUUACAAGGCUGGAUCUAUU